rnacentral:rRNA from 1 species
CCUACGGGGGGCAGCAGUGAGGAAUAUUGGUCAAUGGCCGGAAGGCUGAACCAGCCAUGCCGCGUGAAGGUCAGUGCCCUAUGGGCGUUAAACUUCUUUUGUGCGGGAGCAAUAAUGGUCACGUGUGGCCAGACGAGAGUACCGUACGAAUAAGCAUCGGCUAACUCCGUGCCAGCAGCCGCGGUAAUACGGGGGAUGCAAGCGUUAUCCGGAGUUAUUGGGUUUAAAGGGUGCGUAGGCUGUGAGGUAAGUCAGCGGUGAAAUGCCCCCGCUCAACGGGGUGAAGUGUCAUUGAUACUGCCUGGCUGGAAUGCGGAUGCCGUGGGAGGAAUGUGUGGUGUAGCGGUGAAAUGCAUAGAUAUCACACAGAACACCGAUUGCGAAGGCAUCUCACGAAUCCGCGAUUGACGCUGAUGCACGAAAGCGUGGGUAUCAAACAGGAUUAGAUACCCGGGUAGUC